CAGCCGCCACGGGAACACGGAGGGUGCAAGCGUUACUCGGAAUCACUGGGCGUAAAGGACGCGUAGGCGGAUUAUCAAGUCUCUUGUGAAAUCUAACGGCUUAACCGCUAAACUGCUUGGGAAACUGAUAAUCUAGAGUAAGGGAGAGGCAAAUGGAAUUCUUGGUGUAGGGGUAAAAUCCGUAGAGAUCAAGAAGAAUACCCAUUGCGAAAGCGAUCUGCUGGAACUUAACUGACGCUAAUGCGUGAAAGCGUGGGGAGCGAACAGGAUUAGAUACCCCCGUAGUCCCUGUCUCUUAUAC
rnacentral:rRNA from 1 species